rnacentral:miRNA from 12 species
GUCUGCGCAAUUCUACUUAAAC